rnacentral:tRNA from 1 species
GCCUUCGUGGUACAGUGGUCAGCACGUUCGACGCCUAACCGAGGGGUCCGUGGUUCGAUUCCCAGCGAAGGCG